rnacentral:rRNA from 1 species
CACGUAGGGCGCAAGCGUUGUCCGGAAUUAUUGGGCGUAAAGAGCGUGUAGGCGGCCAGGUAGGUCUGCUGUGAAAACUCGAGGCUUAACCUCGAGAUGUCGGCGGAAACCAUCUGGCUAGAGUCCGGAAGAGGAGAGCGGAAUUCCUGGUGUAGCGGUGAAAUGCGCAGAUAGUCAGGAGGAACACCCGUGGCAAAGGCGGCUCUCUGGGACGGUACUGACGCUGAGACGCGAAAGCGUGGGGAGCGAACAGGAU